CCAAGGCGAUCGAGAGAAUCGUGGUGAAGGAACUCGGCAAAAUACCCCCGUAACUUCGGGAUAAGGGGGACCUGAUUUGUGAAGGCACUUGCUGCCUGAGCAUUGAGGGUCGCAGAGACCAGGCCCAAGCGACUGUUUACUAAAAACACAGGUCCGUGCCAAGUUGAAAGACGAUGUAUACGGACUGACUCCUGCCCGGUGCUGGAAGGUUAAGGGGAAGUGUUAGGGCAACCGAAGCACUGAACUUAAGCCCCAGUAAACGGCGGUGGUAACUAUAACCAUCCUAAGGUAGCGAAAUUCCUUGUCGGGUAAGUUCCGACCUGCACGAAUGGAGUAACGAUUUGGGCGCUGUCUCCACCACGAACUCGGCGAAAUUGCACUACGAGUAAAGAUGCUCGUUACGCGCAGCAGGACGGAAAGACCCCGGGACCUUUACUAUAGUUUGGUAUUGGUGUUCGGUACGACUUGUGUAGGAUAGGUGGGAGACUUUGAAGCAUGGACGCCAGUUCGUGUGGAGUCGACGUUGAAAUACCACUCUGGUCGUUCUGGAUAUCUAACCUAGGUCCAUUAUCUGGAUCAGGGACAGUGCCUGAUGGGUAGUUUGACUGGGGCGGUCGCCUCCCAAAAUGUAACGGAGGCGCCCAAAGGUUCCCUCAGCCUGGUUGGCAAUCAGGUUUUGAGUGUAAGUGCACAAGGGAGCUUGACUGUGAGAGGGACACCUCAAGCAGGGACGAAAGUCGGGACUAGUGAUCUGACGGUGGCACGUGGAAGCGCCGUCACUCAACGGAUAAAAGGUACCCCGGGGAUAACAGGCUGAUCUUGCCCGAGCGUCCAUAGCGACGGCAUGGUUUGGCACCUCGAUGUCGGCUCGUCGCAUCCUGGGGCUGGAGUCGGUCCCAAGGGUUGGGCUGUUCGCCCAUUAAAGCGGCACGCGAGCUGGGUUUAGAACGUCGUGAGACAGUUCGGUCCCUAUCCGCUGCGCGCGUAGGAAUCUUGAGAGAGGCUGUCCUUAGUACGAGAGGACCGGGACGGACAAACCUCUGGUGUGCCAGUUGUUCUGCCAAGAGCACGGCUGGUUGGCUACGUUUGGAAGUGAUAACCGCUGAAAGCAUCUAAGCGGGAAGCACGUCUCAAGAUGAGGGUUCCCACAGAGUUAAUCUGGUAAGGCCCCCGGAAGACCACCGGGUUGAUAGGUCGGAUGUGGAAGUGCAGCAAUGCAUGGAGCUGACCGAUACUAAUAGGCCGAGGGCUUGUC
rnacentral:rRNA from 1 species